AUAGCGUAUAUUGGCGUUGUUGUGGUUAAAAAGCUCGUAGUUGGAUCUCAGUUCGAGUCAGACGGUCCACUUGCCAGUGGUUACUGUUUGGACUGAACACUUUAUCGAGUUGUCCUAUGGUGCUCUUCACCGAGUGUCAUAGGCGAUCGAUACGUUUACUUUGAAAAAAUUAGAGUGCUCAAAGCAGGCUACACAAGCCCGAAUAAUGUUGCAUGGAAUAAUGGAAUAGGACCUCGGUUCUAUUUUGUUGGUCUUCGGAAUCUCUGGUAAUGAUUAAGAGGGACAGACGGGGGCAUUCGUAUUGCGACGCUAGAGGUGAAAUUCUUGGACCGUUGCAAGACGAACAAAAG
rnacentral:rRNA from 1 species